rnacentral:rRNA from 1 species
CUUGUAGGUGGUUUGUCGCGUCUGCUGUGAAAAUCCGAGGCUCAACCUCGGACUUGCAGUGGGUACGGGCAGACUAGAGUGUGGUAGGGGAGACUGGAAUUCCUGGUGUAGCGGUGGAAUGCGCAGAUAUCAGGAGGAACACCGAUGGCGAAGGCAGGUCUCUGGGCCACUACUGACACUGAGAAGCGAAAGCAUGGGGAGCGAACA